rnacentral:sRNA from 1 species
CUGUAAGUCAUAUUGCGAAAAUGACAAGGCAAUUGUGUGUGUAUUUUCCCUCGUUAAGAAUAGUAAAGGGAUUAAGAAAAUAAUGUUCGUAUUGGAUAUGGAAAUUCCGUCCUUCAACUUGCUUACUACCUGAAUUAUGGUGUAACAGAUGUUAGAUUUGCAGAGAUGAAGAUUAAUCUGUCUAUUACGCUUAUGGUCAAAGGAGGGCAGGAAUGGCGUGGGAAAAGAUGCAAGAAGUAUUUUUGUAAAGCAGAAGUGUGUCUUCGUUGUUGGGGAUUGUUUGCUGGAUGUAUCUUUAAUGAAUGAAACUACCCUAAGGCAAAGAAGAAUUCCGAAAUAUGAGUCUGUGCGUUUGGAUUGUUUGUUUCUUUGCAACGAAGACACCUUGCAACAGCUGCAUUCACAUCCCUACACAUGUAAGGGAUGUAUGUUUAGAAGUGCGUUUUAUUUUUACCUGCAAUGACAAGUAGCAGCUGAAAAAUGUAGGGUCUUUUCGACAGGACGAAGGAAUUUGAAACACAACUGUACCAAUACACUCAAAUUGGAGAUGGAUUUUCCGUAGGUUAAAUUGUGAAAUCCUAACAAACACAUGGAUAGAAAUGGACAGAUGUUAAGUGGAAUAUCCUUGUGUGGAGGGAGUUGCUGCUCUUGAGAGAAUUUUAUGUGAAACAAGUUGAUCGGUGGGUGAAGAUAUGGAGUGGAGGAAAUAAAGAUUUGUUGGAGAAAUCCAAAUGGUUUGGGAUAUUUGAAAUGAGGUGUAUAAUGUAAUGGAAUGGUGGAGGAAUAGUCAAAUGGAGGAAUAAUAAUGGCUGUAGAAGAUAGAAGGAGCGACUUUUUAUUACAAAUGUAAUCUCUGUACCAUUUUAUGAUAAUGUUUAUUCAAUAAAACGCCUGUUGGCUGAUUUAUAAUAAUUAAGAAUCAAAAA